rnacentral:rRNA from 1 species
GAACGGCAGCGCGGGGCAACCUGGCGGCGAGUGGCGAACGGGUGAGUAAUAUAUCGGAACGUACCCUGGAGUGGGGGAUAACGUAGCGAAAGUUACGCUAAUACCGCAUACGAUCUAAGGAUGAAAGUGGGGGAUCGCAAGACCUCAUGCUCCUGGAGCGGCCGAUAUCUGAUUAGCUAGUUGGUAGGGUAAAAGCCUACCAAGGCAUCGAUCAGUAGCUGGUCUGAGAGGACGACCAGCCACACUGGAACUGAGACACGGUCCAGACUCCUACGGGAGGCAGCAGUGGGGAAUUUUGGACAAUGGGCGCAAGCCUGAUCCAGCAAUGCCGCGUGAGUGAAGAAGGCCUUCGGGUUGUAAAGCUCUUUUGUCAGGGAAGAAACGGUGGGGGCUAAUAUCUCCCACUAAUGACGGUACCUGAAGAAUAAGCACCGGCUAACUACGUG